rnacentral:rRNA from 1 species
UUGUAAAAAAUAGAUAAAGAGUCGGACCUGCCCGGUGAUAAUUUUUAACGGCCGCGGUACCCUGACCGUGCAAAGGUAGCAUAAUCAUUUGCCUUGUAAUUUAAGGCUAGUAUGAAGGGUUUGACAAGAGUAUAACUGUCUCCUUUUGGUUCAAUAGAAUUUUACCUGUAAGUGAAGAGGCUUACGUUUAAUUAAUAGACAAGAAGACCCUAUCGAGCUUUAAAACAAUUAAUAGAUUAAAUAUACAUAAUGCUAAAAUCAUGUCUAUUAAAAAUUUUGGUUGGGGCGACUAAGGAACAAAUAAAGCUUCCUUUAAAAAUUUAACACACAUGUAAAGAUCCAGAAAGUUCUGAUUAAGGGAAUUAGUUACCGUAGGGAUAACAGCAUUAUCUUUUUUGAGAGCUCUUAUCGAAAAAAAGGUUUGUGACCUCGAUGUUGGACCAGAAUAUCCCAAAGGUGCAGUAGCCUUUAAAGGUUGGUCUGUUCGACCAUUAAAAUUCUA